GCACAGAAAAUUGCAAGUAUGGGCAGAUGAAAAUUAUGUGUGAAUAUUUCAAAUUUGAGAAAAUUUGGAAAUAAAUAAAAUUCAGCAUUUUAAUUUGAUAUUUUCAAAGCAAACUUUUAGACUAUUCUUAAUUUCAGAAAUACAAUUAACUUUUAAAAAGUAAAACAAAUGUUGAAAAUAUAUGUUGGGACAAACAGCAGCCUAAAAUAUAAUUUUAAAAAUUCAUUCUGCUAAGAGUAUCAUAAACAUGAUCUUCUCCAAGUGAAAUUUCCCCAAAGCCCAUUAAUAUAGCAGAGCAUAUCACUGAAGGGAACAAUAAGCUCUGUACACUCACAUAACCUUUCUUGGUUUUCUUCUUUUGCAGUGGACUCACUGCAGAGUAGGGUUUUAGAUCUUUUUCACUAUAAUUCAUUUGUCCAGACAGUAAGACUACUCAGUAAUAGGAUCAGAGAAUCACAAAUGUUUUCUAUUAUGAUAGGAUUAGUAUUCUGAUCUUUUCUGAAUAUCAAGGUGUGUAUGAAGUGUUCCCAGCUCUGUGCUAUAUAUACUGAAUCCUUUUUCUACAUGUUGACUUAAUUUUAGAAGGGAGAAACGUGAGUGAUUUACUACUGUCUUAUUCAUAUUGGGGUCACUGAACGCAUAAAAUUCCUUUUACAUUUACUUGUGGCAUGGUCACCAAAAGCAAGCAGAAAUUCCCACUGUUCUGCUGUGGGUUCUGAUCAGGUAACAAGAGGCCAACUCUUUUCUUCUUUCCUCACAUUUUUCCCCCUAGACUUCCAGUUUGAUGUCAUUUCUCUUAAGCACUUACAUCUAGAGGUAUUUAGGAAUAGCUAGUGGAGGUGCUAGCAUGCCAGUGGCUUACUGUUGUGUGCCCUCAGCACUUCCCCAAACACCUGCAUGCAUACUAAUUUGUCUAGUAGCCUAAAUGUAUGCCUUUAUAUCUGGAGCCAAAAGUGGUGCAAAAUGGCCUUAUUAGAGAAAGACAAAGGAAAUAAAUGUACUUGACAGUUUUUUAAGACUACCUGGGGACAAUACCACAUUUACGGAUUGUUCCAUACUCAAACAUCUCCUAUCCUGCCCUCCAUAUGAAAACCUGAGCUUACAGAGGAUUCUUCAAUCCGUGCAUGGAAAAAGAUUAUGUUGCUGUAGGUCAUGUGGCUGCUGAGGGACAGGGAUUAAAUCCAACUCUAUUUGAGAACUUACUUCUUGUGAACUCAUGAAAUAUCCUUAAAAGUAUUGAGACAACAACCACUAAAAUCAUCAUGCAGAUGACAUGAUUGGACUUCAGCGUAGGUUCUACACUAUACAGAUUGCUUUGUAAGUGUUGUGUUUAGAGAGCAGGCUUCUGUGGUCUGCUUUUUCUAAACCAAGAUUUUUUAAUCUGUUAUUCUUUGUUGAAACAGCUGUAAUAUCAUUCCCUAAGAAGACUUAUAUGCUUUCAUUUUGAGUCCACACAUUAUUAAGCACAAAUUCAUUUUAGUUUCAUAAAACAUUAAAUAGCCUGCCAGAUAAAACUGGUUUUGUUUCCCACAUGUAUAGAGUUGUUUGGUUGUCAUAACAAUGAAAGCAAAUAUAAAAUAUGUAAAGUGUAAUUAAAUCACUCAGUUUAUUUGUAGUGCUAAUGCCAUUAUUUGGUUCAAAGGAUUUCAUUAAAUCAUUGAAAAUUCAGGAACAAGUUAUGAAUGAUCUAGGAAGAUGCUACUGUUAAAUAGCAGAUGUGACUGAAAGAUUGACGCACAUGAUGUCAAUUAAAACACAAUACUAUAGCUCACUAGGGAAAGCUGAGAUAAUGAUACAGCCCAAACCUUGAUUUACUCAAUUCUGUUUUCAGUGAAACUGCUUACUAAGCCAAUGGGAGUUUUAUCUGUGCUAGGAAUAUAAGAUCCUUACCAGAGUGACUUGCACGGUCCCAAGCAGACAACAAACCUGUUGGAAAUAAGAUUUCUGAUCAAUAUUUUAUGCACUGUGACAAGCUGGCAUCUUUCAUUUAUCAGAAUUUUUCCCUCUAAAGUCAAUGAGGUUUUGUCAUUUGAUUUAAUUGUACUAGGCUAAAGCUCUGUUUCUGCAGCAAAUAUACUGAGCAUGCAGGUCACAAAUUGCCAAAAUGUGUGAAUUUGUAUGUAGAGUCAUUGGUUUCAUUAACAUUGUUCAUCUGACAGAAAUUAAGGGGAACAAUUCCUUCUUGGAACAAAUCUUGCCCAUGUGUGCACUUCUCAGCUCCCAACAAGCACAGCUUAAUUUCCAACAUGCUCUGAUGUACUCAAAAAAGUCAGGCUAUUAUUUUGUCCUAAACACUCACAAUUUAAUUGAAAAAGGAAUUUUCUCAUAAACUUGGAUUAAAAUGUGCCUGCUUCCAGGUGCUAAGUGUAUUCACUGCUGUAGCAGGCCCUUUCUUAAUGUCAGGCAAGGACAGUAGUGGCAUAAUGAGCUGGUAAGCUUGCCCAGGAAUGCCCUGUAACAGGAUGCUUUCAUUCUUCUUUCCAAUGAAUGUUUGCACUAUUAUUUCUGCAAAGAGCAGUCUGUGACUGGAAAAAAAAGGAGCAAAGAGGGAAGUUGAAAGUGAAAGUGAUAACCAAAGGACUAUCUAUUUUAUUCAAGUUAUUUAAACCUGAACAAAUGUUCACUUGUUUGUUAAUGGUCUGAUAUAAAGCUCACAGAAAUCCAUAAUAGUUUUUUCCAUGACUUUUGCAGAUUUGAAUGAAGCCUUUCUCACUCUUAAAAUACAUUUUCCUGUCUUCUUUGCUCACCUAUAAUUCAGCUGUGAGAUCACAUACAAGUACCAUGAAUUCAGAAGUGUAAUUGCCCUACUGAGAAAAUAGUGAGAAUAGAUUAAUUAAUAUCUUCAUAUUUCAUCUUUUAUAUAAUGUCUUUGUUAUAACUGAGAUUGUCCUCUUAUAAUAUUGCCAUUUUCUCCUGGUUUUAACAGGGUGUUACACUUGAAAAGGUCAAUUAUGGUAAGUUUGAAAAAAAGACAUAAGUUUGAAGAUGAACAACUGACAUUUAACCUACGUGAUGAUGCUCUGCUUUUAAACUGCAAGUGAAAAAUCCAUAAUGGUCUCCAUCAGAGAACAUUCAACUAGAAAUUGAAGUUAUAAGGAGAAGACACAACUCGCCAGACAUCAUACAUGACAGUGUCUUUUCUGAAUAUCAGAGAAAACAGACUGUGGUAAAGAAGUUCUCUAGAGGUUUGCAAAAUAAAAAUAUAAAUAAAAAUAAAAAAUAAAAUCCAACCUAGUAAGGAUUUGCUGGUGAGUUUUCUUUCUUUUGUUGUUGAAUUCCCCUGAUAAUAUUUCACCAUUGCGAACUCAUAUACAAUUAGCUACAUCAUGUGUCCACAAAUGUGUCCAGAAGUUUGCAAACACUUGCAAUCUAUAGCCCCCCAGCAUAACAGGGGAAAUACUACCCAAGUAUUAGUGCAUAGGUGCAUUUCUCCUGAUAAAAAGAACAACUUGCGGUCUUCUUUUGGUUGCAGCGAUUCAUCUGUUCUUCCACAGAGUUAAAUUAUGGAAAAGUAGGUAUUUACGAGAAGUAUUUAUGCAAAUAACCUUUCAAUACAAUGAGAUCAGGAAGUGCCACAUCUUUCUGGACUUCAAAUUACUAUCAUUCUGGACACCAGUACUUCUUGAGCACUCUCUCACCCUAAGGGUAAGCUCAGGAUGCAUGUUUUCAUCUUUGGGUCUAAAGCUUUGAACUUAAUUCCUGCUAUAUAUAAGAAUGAUCAGAGAUAUCAUCCAAUCUCCAGCAAAGAUUAUUUCCUUGAUCAUAGUUUUUUUCACAGUAGCUCAUACCCAAAUAAUAGCUGAGGAUUAUGUGCACUAAAACCUAAUGUAAUACACUUUGACAUUACAAGAGGAAACAGAGAAAACUUGGUCAAUAUAGCUCACCUUGAUGGGUGCUUAGCUGUAUGAAGUGUUCAGUCAUCAUAAUCUUGGGUAACCUGCACAGAAUACAAUCAGGUUAAAGGCAGUAGAGUAUACGGUCACAUUAAUACCAAGGGGAGACAUUUUCCAACAAACUAAAGAACACCUUUUCUGGGAACAAUGUUGUUUCUUUUUCUCUGGAAAGCUGGAUGGAAAAUUUCAGGCAAAUGUAUUCACUGUAAAAGAAAUUAAAACAGACAUUCACAUAACUGCUGAGGGCAGUCACAAAAUAACCACAGUCACUGGUUAGUAUUGUUAGGAGUAUUGUUUAAGCAUAAGCAAUUUCUUAAUUUAUCAUAAUUGCCAGUGAAAACACCACACACCAGCAGGCAGAAAAGUAGGGAUUUGAUAAACUGAAGUCUUAGAUCACCCACUCACUUGUGCUAUCUCCUAUACAGUAUAGCCUCAAGGCUGUUAGAAGUAAUAUAAUUGCAUAUAAGAUGAGAAUAUGAAUAUCUUACUUUUUUAUUACAUAGAAGAGUAAUCAUCAUUGGUAACUAUCACUUGUUUUAUUGUAUCAUCAUUUUAUCUAUUAAUGACUAUAUUAAUGACAAUGUUUUCUUGAAAUUGAGAUAGAUUGUGACAUUGUGGAAGUCAGACUUUGUCUUGAAGCAGAGCACAAUACAAAAGACCUGUAAUCAUUGCCUCAUUUUAAAUGUUAUUUCUCUGAUAUUCAAGUUUUUUGAGGAGGCAAAGACCAUGGGAGAGUUCUUUAAUGCCAGCAAGAAAGAUCCAGCUCUGUAGUUUUGGAGUUGUACACAAGCAACUACACAAGCAAGAGUGUAUGGGAUGCUAAAGACCAGACAAAAACUUUGGGGGCAAUUGUGACAGAGAUGAAGUACAGAAGCUCUCCUGCUUUUCAGAACACACUGUUUCACCUCCAAAAUUACUUUAAAAAUAUGUGUGUUCUUAUCAAUGUAUUUUAUACAUGCAGAGAUGAAUGUACAUAUGAGAUAAAGAAUGCAUAGACUAGGACUAGGCAUAGUUCUGUAUGUAACGGGAGGGUAUGUCUGCCAUUCAAAGAAAAUUUGUGUCGUUUACUAUCUGAAUUAGCUGAAAAAUUAAAAGAAUAAUAAAUGAAAAAUUAUUAUGAUUUUGAAAUGGGUUAACAUUUCAUGUUCAUGCCUGAAGAAAUAACUUUUGUUAGACACCAGUAUUCAACUACUGUUAUGGUCUAUCUGUGAGAGAUAGCAAGAAAAUCUAUACUGGGUGGUACUACAGUGAUUCACCUUGCCUAGUGUUCUGCCUUCAUGGUAGCAAAAAGAGUUGCUAGUCAGUAGGGAGAAACAUAUGAACCUAUGAAUCUUUUUAAGACUGUUCUCCCUAUUCUUACCAACAACCACAGUCAUUGUAUUGGGUAUAUCAGACACUACAUGCACACAUGUUCUCUAUACUAUCCGUUUAUAGAUCUGCUCAUACAUUUGUUGACUUUUCCCUUUCACAACCACUCAUACUUUGCCACUGUGGCAACAAUUCCUAAAGUUCACCAACUUCUCUAUGAAAACAUAUAUUAUUUGUCUUUUUUAAGGUGCAGUUUGGAGUAAAUAACUCCCACAGUCGACCAGUCCACCACUUUAAUCAUCAUGUCACACCUUACACACCUACUCCUCAUCAAGUUGAGUAGCACCAACUGCUCAGCCUCUUCACAUAUGUUGGCUGCUUGAUCCCCUUGCACCUGUAGCCCUUUUCUGCUUCUAGCUCUGUCUUCUUGGGAUGUGAAGUCCAGAAGUGACUGAAAUAUUCAAUAUACGAGUAUCAAAACUAAAGUGGCAAAACAUGACUCUGUCUCAUUCUUAAAGUCCUUACUGACAAUGCUCAGUAUUUUGUUGUCUUGGUAGUUGCUGCUGUGCGUGGAUGAGAUAACUUCAGAGAAAAAUCCAUAGUGACUCCUCUGUCUCUUUCCUGAGCUCAGCACAGUGAGAGUCCACAACAAGGCCUUUCUAAGGGAGAAAAAAAAGAGAGAAAAAAAAUCCUGCAAUUUAGGUUGCCUCAUAAGGACCUCAUGCAGUCCAUGCAACUCAUAGGACCUGAGUAAUGGAAUUUCCAGAAAACAAAGUACAUGUUUAUAUCUGCUUUUCAUUCCCUGCAACCUGCCACAUCUGCUAAUGAACUCUGAGGAGCAGCAUUAACUAGAAUUUAACUGUGAAUAGAACAGAAUGUACUUGUGAAUAAAACAGAUCCCAUCUUAUGCCACCGAAGAACAUGAUGGGGCAGAUCUCCAAAUGGGGAAGCUCAGAAGGAUCCAAGAGGAGAAAGCAACAGGAAGUAACCAUCCUCUGACUGCAGGAGAGGCACGCUGAUGAUGGCAUGGCUCCUCCAACCAGGACCCGAUCUCAUGAGUCCAGAAAGUUGAGGAAAUUUGUUUCUUUUGUGCAUGUUGCAAUUAUCAAAGAGUAAGGCGUUGGAAGAGACAGCUCUAAUAGAGCAAAGUUUAUCCAUGACACUUUUUCCAGUAGGUUACCGCCUGCUUUGGCAAAUUGUUUGGAAGAAAACUCCAUUCACCACUUCAUCUGCUGCAGACAAAUAAAACAGAUUAUAUGAUAUAAUCUUUUGAUAUAAGGAGAAGACUCAUAAAGUGACGUAACAAAAAAACAACAUUCCUGGUAAAAGAAAAUGAUAUGACAGCUGCUCCCACAUGACACUUUGCUUCAACAUAGCCAUAUUUGUUUAUCCCAGCAAUAGCUGAAUUUUGCCAACUUUCUGACCCACUGGAGACGGCUGAGAGAUGACUCAAUCUCAGUGGUGAUGGAAUUGAAUCUAGUUUGUAAAAUGCUGUGAGAUCUCUUGGGUUGAAAGUUGGUAUAAAAAUAUGAUUUAUUAAAAUAAAUGUUCUGUAAAUUAUAGAGCAGCUUUGAUUUACAAAUACUUAACGGGCUUUAAACGUAGCUUUUCAUAUGUUCUCUUUGACAAGUUGGAUAUUACAAGAUUUAGCAGACCCAGAGAAAUAAAAAGCCAGAGGGAGAGAAAAUUUAAAGCCUAUGAUUUUUUUUUUCCUUUUUAAUGAUGGGGCUCACCAAAACCCACAUUUAAAACAAAAUGCCUUUUUCAUUGGUCAGUCAUUUGAGGAACUAAAAGCAAUUAAACGGCAUACUGACUUCAAAUUUGCUUCUUCCAUACUUCAAAUGUAUCUUCUUUAGAAGCUAACAAUGAAGCACUAUUACUCUACAUCUACUUUUGGCUAUGGCACAGUACUUCACAAAGCAUGCUUGUGCACAGUUCUGCAAGCUGGAGCCCAGCGAAUUAAAUCAACAUUUAUAUUCCCCUUAAGUAAAUAAAUCUGUGAGGGGUGAGAUGCAAUCUUAGGAAAAAUUGUGUUUAGGUUAAGCUAGGGACAAGCUGCUUAGAAAACUUGAACUUUGUUGGAAAAUCUUCAAAAUAAUUCUGAGUACUAGACUUCAGCUGCUCUCCUCUGUAGCAUAGGUGUCUAUACAGACCCUGACAGGAAUAACCAUAAAGCCAGAAAAAGAGCUAUAUCUUCUGCAAACAAGGAUCUUUCUAAGCCAGCAACCUGCCACUGACAUCACCUAAGAUGUGGAUAAUUAGGGAAGAGCAUAACUGUGCAAAUGUUGUUCUGAUACUUCAACAGUCUGCAGUUCAUAUCUGAGCUUAAAGUGGUAUUAUUAUGUUUAAUGGUGCCUGGUAGAUUUUUCUCAUGGAUUUGUUCAUUCAAUUUUGUAGAAUCAUGGAAUCAUAAAAUGACGUCCAAUCCCCCCUUCUGUGGACAUGGUUGCCAACCACUUGAUCAGGCAGCCCAGGGCCAAUCUGGCCUUAAACACCUGCAGGGAUGGGGCAACUUUGAACUGAUAUAAAUAUUACUGUCCUGCAAUAAACAGAGUAGCUAGUACAUGCACUAAACCUCAAGGGAAGGAAAAAAAGACAAACAAAAUGUAUUUAAUUACUUAAGAUGUAUAUUUCACACAAAUAAAAUUAAACACCUUAUAAAGAUAUUAACUGGAAAGGUUCAUUCAUAGAAAGAGAAGAUAGCUUGAACUUUGAACCGUAAACAUACUUCUAAAGUUUCCUCUCGUUAUAUUUUCUCAAGUCACUUUGGCCAUUAUGAAGAAACAGGUAAACUAUAUAGCAUUUAUACUUCAGAAAGUGACAAUAUCGUAUAUAGUUUUGUACAAACUGACUAAAAAGGUUAAGUGUUUUCAGGUAAGGAAUAGCUUUAUUGUGAAUCAAAGGCAUUGUUUUUCUGUUUUUUUCUUUUGUUAGAGGAGAUUGAUUUACAGUCAAGGAAUACAUUGUUGAAUUUUGGAUGGACAAUAACUAGGAAAUGUUAUUCGAUUCAUUUUAAGUUGCUGAUUUAAUUGUGAAACUCUUUCUCCUUAAAAUUGUUUUGUUUAUUUGCUUGUUUGUUUUAACAAGUCAAUCAGGAAAUAUUUUGUUUCUUUUGUUCUUUUCACUUUGAACAAAUUUAACUUUCCUUAGAUGAAAGUGAACAAUGAUUUCCAAGAUAUAAAAUUCCGCUUCUAUCUCAUUUGCCUCCUAUGUGAUGUACUCUUGAAUUCGGCUCAGUUGAAACACUACAAUCCUGUCAUAAUUUACAGACCUGUGGUGGAGAUAUGUCUCUCUGCAUUUUCAAAUGCUGGAUUUGCUCUGUUAUCAGGUCUGAUAGCAGUACCACUCCUGACAGCCUACUUUGGGGUUUCACUUCCACCAUAGGUAGAAAGCCUGGAUGAAAAGAAAGCUGCUGUGCAUGAGCUAGCAGCAACCAAAUCCUUCAUAUGCCCUUAGUGAAGAAAAAUGGAUUUUUGAAUUCAAAGUUAGAUAGGAAGAAAUUAAAAAGGAGCAACGAAAUCUCCCAUAUUCACAAUCCGAAAAUCAAGUCUGUAAUUGUUAUUGUAUGUUUUCACUCUCAUAAGAAAGAGGAAAAACAUAGUUAUCAUCAGUAAACACAAUAGUAAAUUCAAGAAAACAUGCAGUACCCUUCAUCUAAAGAGACCUGAAGCAGCUUAUAAUCACUAAUUAAUUAAGCCUUGCAGCAUUUCUGGAAGUGAUAUGCAACUUGAAUAAUGCAUUUCUCAAGAGACUCAAACUGUGAUCUUUUUGUGCAACCCACAGUUUAACAGGAAAAUUCUGGAUCUCAUAUUUUUAAUACCUGAGUUAUUAAUGUAUUUUUAAACUCUUUCAACUCCAGUAAAACAGUCUCACUGUGAUGGCCUCCCCACAGAGGAUUUGUGGCUAUAACAACUGCAAUAUAACGGAGAUGGAAAAAGACGGGACUUGUGCCUUUUUCCAGGUACUCAGAGAUUCACUUACUUAAAGUUCGGUGGUCAAGCAUGUUCUUCCAGAGAAUUUCUUAUCAUGCAGAGCAAAUGUAUUAUCAUUGUAUGUGUUCCACCUUUAUUACUGUCUUCCAUAUAGACAAGGUAUAGUGCAGCUACCUUUUUCCUAAGGGCAACAAGCACUUUUACAGAGAGCAUGUUCUGCAUAUUGAAACCUCAUCUGACAUAGAGUCUGCCAUAACUUUCAUCAUCAGUAAUCUACAGCAACUCUAGUAAAGUCAUUAAGUGGGUUUGGAUCAGCCCUCAUGAAGUCUACUCAAAGCAUAAGCUGGUAUAAUCAAAUUUUAAUGAUUUCUUAGAGAGACAAGCUGAAUAUUUGUGAAUAUUUCUACCAAUGAAGGCUUUCAGUUAAGCACUUUUUGAUUUGCACUAAACUCUGGAUUUUUCAGUUUUAGUUAUAUCCAAAGCAUAAAUCUGCCUCUAAAGCUCCUCCAGUCUUUCAACAAACCUAAAUUAUGGUACUGAUAUCUAGAAUACUUUAUUAUAAUUUCACUACUUCAAGGACAAUGCAUCUGAAAGUAUGCAAAGACAUUCUCUGAGCUGCUGUGCAGCAAAAGGAGCACUUGUAUUUAAAAUAAUCUGAUCUGUCUUUGGAAUUGAUGAUCAACUUGUAUUGAUUUAUGUAUAGAAACUUGGACCAACUUCUCAAAGGCUGACAAAAGAGAAGAUUAAUGUUGAAGUACUGAUGCUCUGGUACAAUGUGUACUAACUUAGAAGAAAAUAUAUGUUUUAAACCAUUCUUUCAUUAAUAUGGUACAGAUAGAAGAAAAAAAUGCAAACGGGGAAACUAAGAGAAUGAUCCUGGCUUCUUCUGUUUGGAAGCAUGAUGUUUGAAUGAGAUUUUCUCAAAUUAUUCUUCUCUGUCUUAACACCUGAACCUCACCAGAACUAUAAACUUAAGGAAAACUCUCAUUUGCCGAAGAAAUAGUGGAAAGUUCUAAGGAAAUUAAAGUGACAAAAGCAAAACAAAAGCAAAACCAAAACAAACAAAUAAACAAAAACCAACUGCCAUAGCCAAGAAAGGAUAUUACUUAUUUAUUAGUUUAUUGUUUAGCAGUCCACCAGUACACAAGUAUGUCAGACAGAUAGUCAGUUGUAUUUUUCUGUUUAAUACGCUUCCAUUCUGCACUAACCCAACCACAAUCUGCAGAUGCCUGGGGUUUAUCUUGUGAUAAACCUAAGGUUUGUCUUCAUCUUUCAUGCAUGUACUAGUUCAUAAUACAUAACUAUGCUUUAUAGAAACAUUUACCUACCUUAAUGCUAGUAUACAUUCACAUAAACUCAUAUGAAUAGAAUUACCACAUGCAGUUUAUUCAGUCUAUUUGGUAAUACCUACGUUAUCCUAAUUUUAUUAUUCUGAAACCUGGAUACAUCGUCUGCAUAUCCAAAACAAUAUCAGCCUCUUGACAAGUGUUCAGUAUGCUGUUCCCCAUCCCAGUUUUAAAUUAAGGUCAGGCAAAGAAUCCCGCACACAUACAUUUUGAAAAGGUCAGGUUCUGCUCUCAGUGACAGCAGCAUGCCUGAGAAUAGUUGUAGGACCUAAUGGCUGCUGUCUGUCACACUGACACAACUUAAAAUGAGAAUAAUUUCUCCCUUACUCUCUCUUUCAGUAGUUAUUGAGUUAUGGAAAAUAAGAUUAGAGCAAGGAAAGUGAUGCUGAUGAGUGAACUUUUUAUCUAAUGGACAUUCUCACUUAUCUCAAAAUGAAAGUAGUAGAACUAUAGUCACGGUGAGUAUGUCAGCCCAGAUGAUUACCAUGGUUUGUUUGCACAGCAGAUCUUCUGCAUUUCUAUCCUACAGUACUUCUGCAUAAAUAGAAACAAAUGCAUAUCAUUGUAGCACCUAUUUAUUCUAAAGUAGACCACUACAGGGCAGCAUGUUAUGCCAUAGUUAUGAGUCUGUUAAAUCCCCAUCACUCUCAACCUGUGCAGAAGACAUUUAACUACUUGCUCUAUGCAAAUCUAUUAGCUCAAUUGGUUGCGUAAAUGACUUUGUUGGUGCUUGAAAUGGUAGUUUGCAACUCUGAAUAUGACUUAUUUAUUUAGCUCUCCUUAGUGGGUUGUCAUCAUGCUAUAUUGAGACAGAUUUAGGUUAAUAUCUGUGUUCUGAAGAAGUUUUCUUUUAAAUUAGCUCAUUUCCAUAGGCCUCAGAGUACUAUCAGGACAAGAAACCAAGCCAUGCUCUCUGCUAAAUGAACUCAUACAAUUUACAGGUGAUUUUUCAAUGAAGGUCAAAAUAUAUAAUUAAGAUCAAAACAAGAAAAAUAAAUAAAAUAAUAAAAAUUUGUGAAUCCUGUCUUUUUAGAAUAAGUAAGGCAAUUGCAAAGUAUUGUUGCAAGUUUUAAAAGAAUAGUAUGACUUUCACUGGGCCUGGAUAUUAUGCAUUGAAACUUCAUAAAAAGUCAGCUAGGGAAAAAAAUUAUAUGUACUCCAAAAAUCAAUGUCUAUUUUCUUUUUAUACCCAUUAAAAUAGUAUAUGAAAUGCAUCUUCUGAAAGUGACAUAGAACAGGUAAAAAAGAACUUAAAAAAAAGAGCAUUAUACUGAAUUUAUACUAAAUGAAAGAACUAGACUUGUGUUAGGAUUGUAAAAUGAAGCCAAGUGAAAAGAAGAUUUGGUUUUGAUGAGGAUAAAUCAAUGAAUCUUCUUUUCAGUAGACUUCUACCAAACAAGAGCAAUGAAGAAUGUGAAGACAUGAUGACACACAGGGUUUGCUAUAUGAGUUCUUUCUAGACAAGGUUUUUCUAUGGAAUUUCUCUAUCACUUUGUACUCAGUAUUCUUCAAAACAAGUAUUUUUUGAAAAGUGGUCAUGGUACUAUUUUAUUGUUGUUAUUUAUGUUAUUAUUUACAUUACGUACUACCAUUGCAAGCCUCAACUGUAUUAGGACAUCACUUUUUUCAAGUAUUUCUUGUUUCAUAAACCUGAACUAAUUGUCUUCUUUCACAGGAGUUGAACUGACAAAUAAUUCAUUGGGCUUUAGCAAAAGUGUUUAUGAUUGAGCAGAGGGUAAAAUAUGGUGUCUGCAAGUCUAAUGCAAAUGUUUCGAUAGUGAAUACAGUGAUUUCAGCAGAGACAAGACAGACAACAACAAAUGUUGUUACGCUGAUGACAAGAGAUCCUGAAGAAAGGAAUUUGAAUAAGACUGUAUACAAAACAAAGAAUAUCCAGAAUAAAAACUGCUUCUUGGCAAUGGAAAACAAAUCUCUCUGUCCUCAUCCAGUCCUUGCUGUUUCUACCCAGCCUCAGCUGGGUAGAAGUUUUGUGGGCACAUGAAUGAAGUGUGUUUGAGGUAGUUUAUCUGAAAAAGCAGCCUGCACAUUUUGGAAAGGGAUUCCUGGUUUUUAAUUCUGAUUCACAGAGAAGGACAGUACGAGUGGCAACAUCAUAUUUAUGAAUACAAAUUCUUAAUGACCAUCUGUUUGUGUUUAAUACAUUCAACUAAUUCCUGCCAUUUAUAGAAUUCAAAACCACUGAUUUCAAAUAGUGCAUAGGUUCCAAACACAGGAUACAGGAAUAUUUCAAACAGUAGGAGCAAGCAAGGCUGCAGGUUGGACAUGCCUGCUUUAGAGCCUGCGUGUGCAUCUUGGCAUGAUUUUAGAUGUUUUCAGUAACUCCACAGCACUGUUCACAAUCUCCUGUAUAUUCACCAACAAGAACAUUCUCUGACUGACCUCAGGAUCUCCUAUUUUUCAGACUUUCUACCUGACAACUCCUCUAUAGAAUUGAUGACUGUAGUCCCAGUAUUAAAAAACCUUUGUGCUGCACACACUCUGCAAGACAGAAAGGAACUGCAGUGCACCCAGCAUCAUGGCAAAAUUUAGCUCUUUCAGAAAAGAACUGAGAUUCCUUAAAUUGCUGAGGCCUCACCCCUAAGUAACCUAGCUUCUGGGAGAGCAGAACAAUUUUUGUUCAAAAUUUGUUUAAGAACAAUAAAUUUGUUUAAGAACACCAAACAUAAAAAACUAAAUUUAAGCAGGUGUACUUGAUAAAGUUAUAAGCAACUGAAAGAAUGAUAGUAACAGAAAGCAUCUGUCCCUUAGGGUAUCUCUUGCUACCAGCUUCAAACACACUCUGAUAAAACAUACAGAGGUAAACACACACAGACAGCUUUGGUGUCCUUGUGGGCUUCCUCCACGUUCUCUGAUCUCUAAUUGAGACAACACAGAGUUGUGCUCAUUUCCACAGUGUCACUUAUCUAAAGACACAGAAACAUUAUCUUCACUCAGCAAAAUGUACUUCGCUUUCGAAAAUCACUUUAUUGAAUCAGGCGACCUGCUGCUGGCAAAACAAUGUGAAAGGAAUUUCAUGUGCACACUGUCUAGUUCUUUGAAACCACAUAUAACCUCAUUUAGUUCUAUUGCUAAAACAGAUCCAAAUAUUUCUAAUUCUCAAUUAUAAUUGUAAUAUGGAACAGAAAGCAUAAAGUUUCUGCUUUUGCCAUUUUUUAAAUUUUAUGUAAAAAUAAAGUAUUGAAAUGAUGUGUAUUACAACAUCAUGGAUUUUCCAGGAAGCCAUGAAAUAUUUCAUUGACAUAAAUAAAGUCAGAUUAUUUGAUACAGGUAUUCUUCAGGUACAGCACUGUCUGCCUAAAAUUGCCCAGAGUCUGAAGAGCAAUUCCACUGAAAUAUAAAUAUUUUUUUAUCAUAAUUAUGAAGCCAUUCCUUAGAAGAUGACCACACUUUAAAGUAAGUUCCAAAUUAGAAAAAGCAAACCAGGAUGUUAUAUCAGUCGGACUUUUAUUUAGUUAGUUUAAAGUGAAAAUUAAGUCCUUCACAAAAUUGUUCCUUCAAAGUGUUCUUGACAGUAAGAGAUCAUAGCUCUCAUGGUUUCUUUUAUAAAUCCGUGUUUGUGACAAAGACUUGCCAUAACUGAUAAGAAGGAACAUCGAUAGGACUUAAAAUUAAAUUUGACCCUGUUGUACAGAGUAGCAUACUCCAUGUGGGAGAAAAAGUCAUCUAUUUUUAGUUAAGCUAUACUCCUAAGAAAUGCAUCUUUCCUCCCACACUAAGAACUUAUUUUACUUUCACACCUCAGUGGACUGUUAGGAAAACAUUUCAAGCAGAAAAUCCAGUAAGAUUCAGCCAAGUGUACUGCAGACUUGAAAGUCACUCACCAAAAUUUGCAAAUGUUCUCUAGGAGUUACUUAAGUCCAAUUCCUCCCUGAUUAGUACAAAUACUUCAGCUCUUCCUGCUCAUUCUUUGGUCAAGUCCCCCAUGUGCAGUAUAAAUCCCUUUUUUGUUUGUUUGUUUGUUUUUGUCUUGUUUAUGAUAUGAAAAAGUAAUUGAAAAUCUGCUUAUCUAGCAAAUUAACUUUCCAACAGUGUUCCAUAGAUAAUAUGCUGCUUAAGCUAAGCUUUAAAAAAUCAUGUUAUAUCUGAUGAAGUUUUCCGCUAUUAGAAGCAGUGUUCUACCCACAGAAUAAAUUAGGCAGCUAGACACACCACUGAAGAAAAAAAAAA